GCUACAUGUCACCGCAUGGUGGUGUGUGGAAAGGGUUUACUGGUCUUGGAUGGGCUCACGGCCUAUCAGCUUGUUGGUGAGGUAAUGGCUCACCAAGGCGACGACGGGUAGCCGGCCUGAGAGGGUGACCGGCCACACUGGGACUGAGACACGGCCCAGACUCCUACGGGAGGCAGCAGUGGGGAAUAUUGCACAAUGGGCGAAAGCCUGAUGCAGCGACGCCGCGUGAGGGAUGACGGCCUUCGGGUUGUAAACCUCUUUCAGCAGGGAAGAAGCCACAAGUGACGGUACCUGCAGAAGAAGCGCCGGCUAACUACGUGCCAGCAGCCGCGGUAAUACGUAGGGCGCAAGCGUUGUCCGGAAUUAUUGGGCGUAAAGAGCUCGUAGGCGGUUUGUCGCGUCUGCUGUGAAAGCCCGGGGCUUAACCCCGGGUGUGCAGUGGGUACGGGCAGACUAGAGUGCAGUAGGGGAGACUGGAAUUCCUGGUGUAGCGGUGGAAUGCGCAGAUAUCAGGAGGAACACCGAUGGCGAAGGCAGGUCUCUGGGCUGUUACUGACGCUGAGGAGCGAAAGCAUGGGGAGCGAACAGGAUUAGAUACCCUGGUAGUCCAUGCCGUAAACGUUGGGCACUAGGUGUGGGGGACAUUCCACGUUUUCCGCGCCGUAGCUAACGCAUUAAGUGCCCCGCCUGGGGAGUACGGCCGCAAGGCUAAAACUCAAAGGAAU
rnacentral:rRNA from 1 species